rnacentral:rRNA from 1 species
AUGAUUGAUGGCUCACUCACUAUGCACAAGGAGCGGAUGAGCUGGUCCGGGCACGCCUCGGGGUCCUUGCGCUGCAUGGAGAGCAGCGCGCCGAUCAUCGUCCUCCUCCGUCCCUCCUCGCCCUUCCCCAUCUCCUUCCGCUGCCCGUCGAUCAGCCCCUGCAGGAACUUGGUCCGGCUCUCCCGCAGCCGCCAUAGCCGCCGCCCCACCCCGCCCACGUCCAGCCACCGGCAGGAAGUCCCACACCGUCGACGCGCCGCUGAGCGUCAUCGCCUCCUCCACCAUAUGCCUGAACCAUCGCGCCUCCUCGCUCACCCCCGCGUCGACGCUACCGGCGCCGUGGUGGCUUUUGUCGCAGAUCAUGCCCAUCAUGGAUUCAUGGUAUUCAGGAGCAGCUCGAACAGGCGCGACUUGAGCUCGACCCGGGCCCGCUGCCCCAUGGCGCCAAGAGCCGCGUGGAAGAGGCCCCGCGCCAUGGCGCGCGCCUCGCGCACGUGCACGUCUGCGAAGUCGUCCACCCGGUGCGCGGCCAUGAUCUCGGUCACGGCGAUGCGGCGGACGUGGCGCCAGUACGGCCCGUAG